rnacentral:rRNA from 1 species
CGAACGCUGGCGGCGUGCUUAACACAUGCAAGUCGAACGGCAAGGCCCUGCUUUUGUGGGGUGCUCGAGUGGCGAACGGGUGAGUAACACGUGAGUAACCUGCCCUUGACUUUGGGAUAACUUCAGGAAACUGGGGCUAAUACCGGAUAGGAGCUCCUGCUGCAUGGUGGGGGUUGGAAAGUUUCGGCGGUUGUGGAUGGACUCGCGGCUUAUCAGCUUGUUGGUGGGGUAGUGGCUUACCAAGGCUUUGACGGGUAGCCGGCCUGAGAGGGUGACCGGCCACAUUGGGACUGAGAUACGGCCCAGACUCCUACGGGAGGCAGCAGUGGGGAAUAUUGCACAAUGGGCGGAAGCCUGAUGCAGCAACGCCGCGUGCGGGAUGACGGCCUUCGGGUUGUAAACCGCUUUCGCCUGUGACGAAGCGUGAGUGACGGUAAUGGGUAAAGAAGCACCGGCUAACUACGUG